rnacentral:rRNA from 1 species
CGCAUCUGUGCAUGCAGCAUAUCAAUAAGCGGAGGAAAAGAGGGCUAUUACCUACGCUUAGGAUGUUGACGAGACUGUCGAUCUCAUCUAUACAUGACUCUGUGCAUAUCAAUAAGCGGAGGAAAAGUCAAUACCUACGCUUAGGAUGUUGACACACGCGCGUGCUCGACUCUAUACAUGACUCUGUGCAUAUCAAUAAGCGGAGGAAAAGAAACUAACAAGGAUUCCCCUAGUAACGGCGAGUGAAGCGGGAAGAGCUCAAAUUUGAAAUCUUCAAGGUUCUACCUUGACGAAUUGUAGUUUAAAGAAGUGUUUUCUGUUAGAUGAGUAGCAAAAGUUCCUUGGAAUGGGACAUCAUAGAGGGUGAGAAUCCCGUAUUUGGUUAUUCAUUCUAGCUUUGUGAUACACUUUCAAAGAGUCGGAUUGUUUGGGAAUGCAGUCCAAAAUGGAUGGUAAAUUUCAUCUGAAGCUAAAUAUUGGCGAGAGACCGAUAGCGAACAAGUACCGUGAGGGAAAGAUGAAAAGAACUUCGAAAAGAGAGUUAAACAGUACGUGAAAUUGUCAAAAGGGAAGCGUUUGACACCAGUGUUGUUUUUCUGAAAAUCAAUUAAAGAACUGUUUAUGCUAAGCUGUUUAGACUUUAUCAGCUAACUGUUUAGUUUUGAGCUUUUCUUUAAUGCACUUUUCAGUUAACAAGUCAACAUCAAUUUCUUUUGCUGUAAAAAAGCUCGAGGAAGGUGGCUUGAGAUUCGUCUUAAGUGUUUAUAGCCUCUUGCCUAUGCAGUCGGAGAGAUUGAGGUCUGCAGCGUAGAUCCUUCGGGGCUAAAUGCAUUUGUGCUAAGUUAUAGCAUUUUAUAGACAACUUGUUGACUAUGAUUUGUCUUGUAGCUUACUCGCUUAUGUUAUUUUACCUACGCUUAGGAUGUUGAGCGCAUGUCUCUCUCU